rnacentral:sRNA from 1 species
AUUGUUCGAACUCGAGGAGUGG